CAUUUCUUACUGAUAUAUUUGUAAGUACCACCUGCUCAAUGAAUAUUUAAAUAGCCGCGGAAAUUUAACCGUGCUAAGGUAGCAUAAUCAUUAGCCUCUUAAUUAGAGGCUAGUAUGAACGGUGAAACAUUUCAAUUACUUUUUUAAUUAAUAUUUUUUAAUUUAAAUUAAGAAUAAAAAUGUUCUUAUAAAUAAAAUAGACGAUAAGACCCUUUUGAACUUUACUUUAGUUUAGCUGGGGCAGCUAAAUAAAAAUAAUCUUAUUUUUACUUUUUACCUAAAUGACCCAAUAUAAUUGAUUAAAUGACCAAGUUACCAUAGGGAUAACAGCGUAAUAUCUUUUUAAAGCUCUUAUUAAAAAAGAAGAUUGCGACCUCGAUGUUGAAUUAGUGUAACUUUACUGAUGCAGUAAUUUUAAAAGUAGGUCUGUUCGACCUUUAAAACAUUACAUGAU
rnacentral:rRNA from 1 species